AAACAAUAGCAUUUAAAAUGCGUAUCGGUUUCGACCCGAUAAGAGCGAUAGUACGCAUUGUUUU
rnacentral:tRNA from 1 species